GGAUCCCUGAAAACCGGUCUCAGUUCGGAUCGCAGUCUGCAACUCGACUGCGUGAAGGUGGAGUCGCUAGUAAUCGCGGAUCAGCAACGCCGCGGUGAAUGCGUUCCCGGGCCUUGUACACACCGCCCGUCAAGUCAUGAAAGUGGGCAGCACCCGAAGACGGUGGCCUAACCCUUGUGGGGGGAGCCGUCUAAGGUGAGGCUCGUGAUUGGGACUAAGUCGUAACAAGGUAUC
rnacentral:rRNA from 1 species